GAUUUACCACAGAGUGCCAUAUAUUUGUAUUUCUUCAUAAUUGAUGUAAAUAAAGCUCAAGACAUAUUCACUGACUUGGAAAUGUUCAUGUAUCCAUCCCCUGACUUGUCUGAAGAGAACUGCCAAUAAAACUGAUUGUUUACAUUACAGCAUUUCAUUAUGCAACCCAUCAUCUUGGCUUUUAUAUUUUUGAUUAAUUUAUAUCAAGUUGCAGAGAUUUACUUUGAGUUUAAGAUAAUUUUAAUUUUUUAUUUUUUUAUAUUUGAAAUGGCACAAAUUAAAACGUGUGAAAUACCAAGUGUUCCAAUAGUUUUGGAGGGCACUGUAGCUCUUUGAGAAUAUUGAGUGAAGUCAAGUAAAACCACAAUUACAACAAAUUAAAUUCACUUGAAUUUAAAUCCGCUUUAAAAAUAUGCUGCCAAAUAGUGUGGCUGGCCUUUUGGUGAA